rnacentral:rRNA from 1 species
AGAUUGAACGCUGGCGGCAGGCCUAACACAUGCAAGUCGAACGGUAGCACAGGGGAGCUUGCUCCCUGGGUGACGAGUGGCGGACGGGUGAGUAAUGUCUGGGAAACUGCCUGAUGGAGGGGGAUAACUACUGGAAACGGUAGCUAAUACCGCAUAACGUCUUCGGACCAGAGUGGGGGACCUUCGGGCCUCAUGCCAUCAGAUGUGCCCAGAUGGGAUUAGCUAGUAGGUGGGGUAACGGCUCACCUAGGCGACGAUCCCUAGCUGGUCUGAGAGGAUGACCAGCCACACUGGAACUGAGACACGGUCCAGACUCCUACGGGAGGCAGCAGUGGGGAAUAUCGCACAAUGGGCGCAAGCCUGAUGCAGCCAUGCCGCGUGUAUGAAGAAGGCCUUCGGGUUGUAAAGUACUUUCAGCGGGGAGGAAGGGGAUAAGGUUAAUAACCUUGUUCAUUGACGUUACCCGCAGAAGAAGCACCGGCUAACUCCGUGCCAGCAGCCGCGGUAAUACGGAGGGUGCAAGCGUUAAUCGGAAUUACUGGGCGUAAAGCGCACGCAGGCGGUCUGUCAAGUCGGAUGUGAAAUCCCCGGGCUCAACCUGGGAACUGCAUUCGAAACUGGCAGGCUUGAGUCUUGUAGAGGGGGGUAGAAUUCCAGGUGUAGCGGUGAAAUGCGUAGAGAUCUGGAGGAAUACCGGUGGCGAAGGCGGCCCCCUGGACAAAGACUGACGCUCAGGUGCGAAAGCGUGGGGAGCAAACAGGAUUAGAUACCCUGGUAGUCCACGCCGUAAACGAUGUCGACUUGGAGGUUGUGCCCUUGAGGCGUGGCUUCCGGAGCUAACGCGUUAAGUCGACCGCCAGGGGAGUACGGCCGCAAGGUUAAA